UCCCUUCGUGAGUCCUGCGUGUCUGGCAGCACCGAGGCAGCCAGCAGACGGCAGAAGAAAGGAGGAAGUGGAAACAUCAGCACUAUCUCUUCAGGGUGGGAGGAAACACCAAAGAGUGGCACACAGACACACGCACGGAGAGUCGCAGCGGCACACACACAAACUCCGGACGUCAGCGCUGUAGGGGAAGAAGUGUCCUCCUCGACUCGACAGAUUUGGAUGAGCCGUCUCUAGAGUUGUUUGACAGUGGUGUGAGGCAGCGAGAUUCGCGCCAAGCACUCUCCCGGCAGCCAUGCCGCCGCCGGCAGACAUCGUCAAGGUGGCCAUCGAGUGGCCCGGGGCCUUCCCGAAGCUCAUGGAGAUAGACCAG